rnacentral:rRNA from 1 species
AUUGAACGCUGGCGGCAUGCCUUACACAUGCAAGUCGAACGGUAACAGGUUAAGCUGACGAGUGGCGAACGGGUGAGUAAUGUAUCGAAACGUGCCCAGUCGUGGGGGAUAACUGCUCGAAAGAGCAGCUAAUACCGCAUACGACCUGAGGGUGAAAGCGGGGGAUCGCAAGACCUCGCGCGAUUGGAGCGGCCGAUAUCAGAUUAGGUAGUUGGUGAGGUAAAGGCUCACCAAGCCGACGAUCUGUAGCUGGUCUGAGAGGACGACCAGCCACACUGGGACUGAGACACGGCCCAGACUCCUACGGGAGGCAGCAGUGGGGAAUUUUGGACAAUAGGCGCAAGCCUGAUCCAGCCAUGCCGCGUGCGGGAAGAAGGCCUUCGGGUUGUAAACCGCUUUUGUCAGGGAAGAAAGGGUUCUGGCUAAUACCUGGGACUCAUGACGGUACCUGAAGAAUAAGCACCGGCUAACUGCGUGCCAGCAGCCGCGGUAA